rnacentral:rRNA from 1 species
AGAACGAACGCUGGCGGCAGGCCUCAAACAUGCAAGUCUAGGGGGUGUAGCAAUACAUCACCGGCGGACGGGUGCGUAACGCGUGGGAAUAUACCUAUUGGUUCGGAACAACUGAGGGAAACUUCAGCUAAUACCGGAUGAGCCCGAAAAGGGAAAGAUUUCUCGCCAAUGGAUUAGCCCGCGUCCGAUUAGCUAGUUGGUGGGGUUAUGGCCUACCAAGGCGACGAUCGGUAGCUGUUCUGAGAGGAAGAUCAGCCACACUGGGACUGAGACACGGCCCAGACUCCUACGGGAGGCAGCAGUUGGGAAUCUGGACAAUGGGGGAAACCCUGAUCCAGCCAUGCCGCGUGAGUGAUGAAGGCCUUCGGGUUGUAAAACUCUUUCGACGGGACGAUAAUGACGGUACCCGUAGAAGAAGCUCCGGCUAACUUCGUGCCAGCAGCCGC